UACAGAGGGUGCGAGCGUUGUCCGGAAUCACUGGGCGUAAAGGGCGCGUAGGCGGCUUGAUAAGGUUGCGGUGAAAGCCCGGGGCUCAACCCCGGGUCGGCCGUGGCAACUGUCGAGCUGGAGCACUGUAGAGGCAGGUGGAAUUCCGGGUGUAGCGGUGAAAUGCGCAGAUAUCGGGAAGAACACCCGUGGCGAAGGCGGCACUCUGGGACGGUACUGACGCUGAGACGCGAAAGCGUGGGGAGCGAACAGG
rnacentral:rRNA from 1 species